AGAGGACCUGUAGCAAGUGUCUCUAGUGUUCCCUGUUGUGUAGCCAUUGUGGCAGAGCACUUGUAACAAGUGUCUCGUGUUUCUCGUUGAGUAGCCGUCAAGGCCAGAGGACUUGUAACAAGUGUCUCGUGUUUCUCGUCGAGUAGCCGCCAUGGCAGAGCACUUGUAACAAGUGUCUCGUGUUUCUCGUUGAGUAGCCGUCAAGGCCAGAGGACUUGUAACAAGUGUCUCGUGUUUCUCGUCGAGUAGCCGUCAAGGCCAGAGGACUUGUAACAAGUGUCUCGUGUUUCUCGUUGAGUAGCCGUCAAGGCCAGAGGACUUGUAACAAGUGUCUCGUGUUCUCGUUGAGUAGCCGUCAAGGCCAGAGGACUUGUAACAAGUGUCUCGUGUUUCUCGUUGAGUAGCCGUCAAGGCCAGAGGACUUGUAACAAGUGUCUCGUGUUUCUCAUUGAGUAGCCGCCAUGGCAGAGCACUUGUAACAAGUGUCUCGUGUUUCUCGUUGAGUAGCCGUCAAGGCCAGAGGACUUGUAACAAGUGUCUCGUGUUUCUCGUUGAGUAGCCGUCAAGGCCAGAGGACUUGUAACAAGUGUCUCGUGUUCUCGUUGAGUAGCCGUCAAGGCCAGAGGACUUGUAACAAGUGUCUCGUGUUUCUCGUUGAGUAGCCGUCAAGGCCAGAGGACUUGUAACAAGUGUCUCGUGUUUCUCAUUGAGUAGUAUGGUCAGUGGUUAGAGUUGUGUUAUCGUCGGGGCGACGAUAAAAUAACUGGGGCAGAUUGUGGCAAAGUAGAUAAUCUCCCUCCCCUGGUACUUAGAAACGGCCUAUCAGGGCUCAGUCAUUGCUUUAUAAAGGCUGUGAUUAGGCUACCUGGGAUGCGUCAUUGUUGGCCCCGCCCAUCCGGUACGUGUGCGCUUCCGCCUAACAAAGCUGGAGUCGCCUUUUUGCAGCUUGAAUAGCCAAUUAUUCCUGGCUUCGCUGUGGUUUUCAGGCUGUUCUUGCCACCUGGUUAGACUGAUUUCAUUCAAGUAAUCUUCUGAGACUUGUGCUGUGAGCAACUGUAUGAGGUGUGUGUAACGCUGUAGUCAAUACCUGGUAUGUAUAGAUACACAUGUAUAUGCAUUUCUUUUUAAUGAACACUUGUGUUUUAAAUUUUAACUAAUGGGUUGUUUUUUAGUAGGACAAAGUUUUGGGAACAUCCGCCCGUUUGCGGGUGGGGAAGAUCGCCUCCUGCAUAAUAGCAGAUUAAAGACGGCGUUGCUGUUUUGCUGUUUUGCUGUUUAAUUAAGUUUUGUUGUGCUCGUAUCAUUGUAUGGUUUUUGGUUAUUGUUUGUUUUCGUUACAAUUGAUUUUUGUUUGAUUUUGUAGUGAUUUGUUAAAACUUUUGCUUUAAAUAUAUAUUUCUUUCCUUUUCAUUUCAGUUGUCUUUAAGUGACCAUUGUUAAUUUUUUUUUACAUUUUGUUGUGUGUUUUGGUAAUUGUUUCAGUCAAUCAGGCUUUAGAUUAAUUUCGUUUUGUACAUUUGAGUAAAUUGUGUUCUUUGUGUUUUAGGCCCCUGAGUCGGGUGGCUAGCUGUCCUAGUAUCCUGGUGGUGGUGGUGUUUGGAGCACGGAGUGUGGAUUGUCGUUUGUAGUCACUCACCUCACUCUGUGUGUGUGUGUGUGUGUGCUUUUACGAAUAGCCAUUUUUGCAGCUAGCCUACCCUGCUAGGGGUAAGCCUUCGUAAAACUGAUUAAUGUAUGCCUGGUCGAUUCAUAUCUUUGCCUGAUCUUUUAAAAGGUGUAUUUUCUACUUUGUGAAUUUAAUAAAUAUUUGUAUACGCUAGUG